rnacentral:rRNA from 1 species
AGAGUUUGAUCAUGGCUCAGAACGAACGCUGGCGGCAGGCCUAACACAUGCAAGUCGAACGAGAAGCCACCUUCGGGUGGUGGACAGUGGCAGACGGGUGAGUAACGCGUGGGAACGUGCCCUUUGGUACGGAACAACUCCGGGAAACUGGAGCUAAUACCGUAUGUGCCCUUCGGGGGAAAGAUUUAUCGCCAAAGGAUCGGCCCGCGUCGGAUUAGCUAGUUGGUAGGGUAAUGGCCUACCAAGGCGACGAUCCGUAGCUGGUCUGAGAGGAUGAUCAGCCACACUGGGACUGAGACACGGCCCAGACUCCCACGGGAGGCAGCAGUGGGGAAUAUUGGACAAUGGGCGCAAGCCUGAUCCAGCCAUGCCGCGUGAGUGAUGAAGGCCCUAGGGUUGUAAAGCUCUUUCAGCGGGGACGAUAAUGACGGUACCCGCAGAAGAUC